GUGAAUGAGAGGAGGAACAGGACGACACCAGGACGCAGCUCAAAUAUCCCUAAGUGACGUAUUGGCCCGUAUCAUGUGGGCUCUCUUUCCUCCUGACUGCACGGGACAUUGAGUGGGACAUAUCAAAUGGGUCCCUUGGUCCUAUGCCUAAACAUCAUCUGCGUCUCUGGUCCUGUUGCCUCACCUUAUCUUAAGUAUCUUUAACCUAUCUUGUGUGAUGGUUGUAUCUUUGACCAUACAUUUCUUUCUGUGAUGGUUGUAUCUCUGACCACAUAUGCCCCCUGAUGAACCUAGCGAUAGGGGAAACGCGUUGGGGCUUCAUUUAGAACCAACCUGGGAAUGCAUUGAUUGUUGCACCCGGGCUCGGCUCUAUAGGGUAUAGGUGAUAUUGAUCUAAUUCACCCUUACUGUAUCGGUCUUCAUUGGUCCUAUCCAUCCCAGUGGCCCUGUAAGAAUUUUUCACCAGGGACACAUGACCACACCUACUUAUGGUCUGUGGAGCAACUUUUGUUUAUUGUAAAGAGGAGGGUAAACGCAGGGCAGUCAGCCCAGGAACGAGGACAGGGAGUCUCCACCACAAGGGGACGUCCCUGGGCUGAGGUUAUAGCCAGGGUGAGCUUAGGGAGAGUAUAGGCAUACCCACUGCUCCCAUUUUGCUGCCCUGUGUUCACUCAUCCCUCUCGUAGUGGAGUCUUUACGACUAGCUCCCAGACAUAUUCCUGCAUCUAUUAUUAUCGUUGUAUGUCUUUUUCACUUAUGCACUGGUGAACCACCACUGUGGUACCUUUUUUAUAACCUGACUAGUAAAAGUUAUGUUUUAAGGGGAUCAAUACUGCUGGACACUAUACUGUGAAUUUCAGAUCCUUUUUCAUUGAUCUAUAUUGAAUAAGCUGGACAUUUAUACCCAGAUGACAAAGUUAAGUUGCAGCAUGCAGCAAAGGAAAAGUUCCUGUUUAAUCCUGACAGCACAGCAGAGCCAGAGAGUAACAGAUGUAGCAGUGCCGACUGUGUUUGCCUGCCAGAAUUUAAGCCAAAGC